rnacentral:tRNA from 2 species
UGGGGGUUCGUCUAACGGUAGGACAGCGGACUCUGACUCCGCCAGUCGAGGUUCAAAUCCUCGACCCCCAGCCA